GGGCAGCCAUCGCCGAGUCCCCGUCAGGCGCGAGCCUGGGGAGCCGGGGACCCACCGUCCCUGGGGUGAAUCGGAUGCCCGCGCUCCGUCCGGGGCGUGGCGUCCGUAGGAGACCUUCCUGCUCCGAACCCGUCAGCUAACCCGGUAGGCGAGAAGGAAGGAAAG
rnacentral:sRNA from 2 species